AGUGAACGCUGGCGGUAGGCCUAACACAUGCAAGCCGAACGGCAACACAGUAAGAGCUUGCUCUUACGGGUGGCGAGUGGCGGACGGGUGAGGAAUACAUCGGAAUCUACUUUUUCGUGGGGGAUAACGUAGGGAAACUUACGCUAAUACCGCAUACGACCUACGGGUGAAAGCAGGGGAUCUUCGGACCUUGCGCGAUUGAAUGAGCCGAUGUCGGAUUAGCUAGUUGGCGGGGUAAAGGCCCACCAAGGCGACGAUCCGUAGCUGGUCUGAGAGGAUGAUCAGCCACACUGGAACUGAGACACGGUCCAGACUCCUACGGGAGGCAGCAGUGGGGAAUAUUGGACAAUGGGCGCAAGCCUGAUCCAGCCAUACCGCGUGGGUGAAGAAGGCCUUCGGGUUGUAAAGCCCUUUUGUUGGGAAAGAAAAGCAGCAGGUUAAUACCCCGCUGUUCUGACGGUACCCAAAGAAUAAGCACCGGCUAACUUCGUG
rnacentral:rRNA from 1 species